CACCCGUCGACCGUCGAAGCCCCGAGUCCCCGAGUCGACUCGGCUCGAGCCGCGCCGAACGAUCCCGAGACCGACCGAGCCCCGAAUCGCUCGGUCUCGCCGCCGCUCGGCCGGCCUCGAGCGUUCUCGCGUCUCUUCGCCGCGCCUCCACGCUCCUCGGCGAUCCUCGCGCCGCUCGAAGCGCCAUCCUCGUUCCCUUAACCUAGCUUCCUUCGCUUCAGUUCUCGUUCGCGUUAUCUCCGCCGCACGAACGACCCAUCGAAUGCACGGCGCCCGCGUGUCAUCCUUCGAGGAAUCGACCCGUUGCCAGCUAACGUGCUCUCUCGAUACGACUGCAUCGAUUUUUCCCUUCGAUUCGGCCGCCGACAAACGCAGGUACGCGUCCAACGCGGCAUCUGCGGCACGAUACGGCCGACUAUCAUCACCGCGAACGUAAACAUCUUCGAGAGGACGAACCGUCGAAUCGCGCACCUCGGUGCACAUUAUUUCCAGCUCCCGUCUCGAAUCAAACUCUGCCCGGGUCUCUGGUAACCAGCGAGGAUUCGCGUGCAUCGGUGUUCCAGCAAGGUCGAAGAUGACGGCGUCGCCGUACGUGUCGCGGAUCAAUCAGAUCGACGCGGCCCAGCUGGACGACGAGAUCUACAAGGUGCUGAGGAGCCAGGUAAAACGGAUCACGGAGUACCGGCCGACGGACAGGAUCGAUCGAUGGCAGCCGGAGAUCGACGCGCUGCUCAAGUUCCUCAUGUGGAAGUUCUCGCUGUACCGUGGAAAGUCGACCUUCGGCCAGCAGUUACUGAACCUGCACUACGAGAACAUCGACCGAGCUAAAUCCCUCUUCUACUUGAUCCUGACAGUGGCGCCGGCGUACGCGCGCGACAAGCUCGAAGGCAGCGACCGCGCGCGACGUCUCGCCGCGGUCCUCGAUCGCGUCGCGAACGCGACGAAGCUGCUCGGCUUCCUGAACUUCCUGGUGUUCCUGCACCGGGGCACGCAGCCCCGGGUCGUCGAGUACCUGCUGGGCAUCUCGAGUCGUUCGACGACCACUCACAAGCCGAGGAACAUCGGCUACUCGUACAUGACCAGGGAGCUGCUCUGGCACGGCCUCAUGGAGCUGUUCACCGUCGGCCUGCCCCUGAUCAACUUCCACUACCUGAAGCACGCGGCGAAGAGGCUGCUGACGAGAGGUAGUCGCGGCAACGCGACGACGGUGCGAGCCGCCCCGAAGAUGACCGUCGCCACGAAAUGCGCGUACUGCGGCGAGACACCGAUCAUGCCGAUGCACGCCGGCUGCGAGCAUCUGUUCUGCUACUAUUGUCUGACGGCGCAUUUCACCGCCACCAACGAGUUCCUAUGCGGCGAAUGCGGCGCGAAGCUGGCCGUCGAAGACGCGAGGAACUACGAGCCGUGAAGGGACACGGCGGACGCGGGCGGCGAGCCGCGGCGAAACACCCCGGAUACACACACACAAAUUAGAGCGGAACCACUCGGAUCGAUCGCAGCGAGACUGGACACCGGGCGUGGAUCAGUCCGUCGGUCAGGAUCGCGCGACGGAAACAGCGACCGACGAUGCAAUUUAACGCUCCGCGACGUUCCAUCGCUAUCGCCGAAUAAACAAAAAACAAUGAUUUCCCCGCUGCUCGUCACGGAGCCAAUGACGCAACGAUCGAACGACGAUGUGAUGCACGCUAUAAUAUUGUAUUCGUCGUGUUACACGAUCACCGUUUUAAACGAACACGAGGGAACAGGGACGAUCGGACAGCCUUGUUACGACGACGACGACACGCGUAUGGAAAACACGCAGCACUCUCUUCCCAAUAAUUCCCGAGCACGCGGGACGGUGCAUCGCCAAGAAAUAAUAAUUUAUGCUUAAAAAGACUUCACAAAAGAAGACUCCUAGUCAAGAACUUUCAGCGGUAAAAUUAUUCGCUAGGCACUUUAUUAAGCUCUGGCCGCGACGUAAUCCUCCGACUCGAUCGUAUUGUAUUAUCCAUCGAUAUUAUAUGUAGAACGAUUUGUUAUUCCGGACGCGGGCCGAACGUUCGCACGCGCGAUACACGCACGCGUCGUACAACAAAAAAAAAAUAUAUAUAUAUAACAGAAACCGGUGAUUAGAGUAUGCGAACGUCGACGAACGUCCGGGGUUUUCGCGUUAGCGGAAAAAUAUAUAUAUAUAUAUGUUAAACACUGAACGUCUGUUCCCUGAACGUUUGCGGUCGGAUGUCGUCGGUAGAAGUUCAGCAGCGUGCGAGAGCCCGGUUGUGUUUGCCUAGCGCUAUUUCCGUGCAAUUCGUUGCGAAAAUCAAUGUGCGAGCGAGGAGAAAAAAAAAAUAGAAAAAAAAACGUGUUUAAAAUAUACAAUAAUUUAUAUACCGAA